GAAUGUUUAAAGUUAUUUACCCUUCUUUCCUUCUUGUACUGAUUGUGGAUGUAGGAAGGGGAAAAAAAAGAAGAAGCAAAUCUUGUUAUUUACGAGUCUACAAUCUUUGUUUCAACUGAAACAAUGCAUUUACGACCUUUUAGGUCCUAUUGUAGGACUGAGUUCUUAAUAGUGGUAUUCAAGCAAGACCUAAUCGUAUUGGAGUAAUAUGCUAGUAUGUUGCUUGACAUAAUAGUGGGAUCAUAUGUUAUUUUACUGUUCCCAAAUGGAGUAACAUGGUCAUAACAUGUUUGAUUUUUCAUGUUGAUUUGCCUAGAAAUGAACCUAAGGUAGCAUUGGACAUUGAUGAUUCAAGAAUCUGGCCAUUUUAUAGGGUUGCAAAUGGAUCCAUUCUCCAAAAAUCAACCCAUCCCGGAUCAAUUUUUAAGUGGGCCUUUGAACUGAGUUGAGAUUUCUAGAGUUCUGCUUCCUUUAUGGUAUUUGGCUGUAUGAUUAGAUGGAAGGAUAUGUCACAACUCACAAUCAAUUGGAGAAAAUCAAAUUUUAGAAUUUUUUGGGGAUGAUCUUUGUCAAUGUUUUACAUCACAUCACACUCUUCCUUGAUUGGAUUGGGGAAAUCUGGUGCAGAUUACACGAGGAGGGUUUUAUUGGAUUGGGGACAGUGGUUUAAGAAUUUUCUUUUUGGUCACUAGUUGAAAGGUUAGAAUUUUCCUACUUGGGAGUUUUUCAGGCCAUGAGUCGUCCACAGUGGGGCCCAUCAUCUCUUUGGGUCACCAUAUUGAGAACCCAAGAAGACUAAAUGUACUCUGAUCAUGCAUUGUGUAUCUUCAAAUUUCUUUCAUCACAAUGAAACCUAAUGUGGGAAAAUGGAAUGCAAUGGUUAUAUGUCUCCAGAGUAUGCAAUGGAUGCGCUUUUCUCAGUGAAAUCAGAUGUCUUUAUCGUUGGGGUCUUACUGCUGGAGAUCAUUAAUGGCAAGAGGAACAACAACUGUUUCAAGGAGGAUCCUUCACAGAAUUUGAUAAGAUAUCCUGCCCUUUUUGUGAACAAAGAGAGAUAAUUCAGAAUUAGCAGAGACAGAUGGGCUGGAAGGAUAUAAGCAUUGCCACACCACUGACAAGUUGUUCAAUAGAAAAUUUGAAAGGUUUGAUAUUCAAACAAGAAGUGUUGUAGUCCUGGCAUAUUGCUGUGUAGAUUUUCUUUUGUACAUUGUUCAAAAAACUUGUGGCUUGAGCUUGGCUGAGUUGAACUAUUUAAAAAGCUGUCAAAACAUUCCAAGUUGAUGAUUUACUUGGAGUAUUAGUAGUUUCAACCCAAUAAGUUUCUGGAUUGUUGAAACUGAAUUGAAACUUUAAGUUUCUUCUGAGAAUUGCUAGCAUUUUGUUUAGUAUCAUCUUUUUGUUGAUUCAGUUAACUCCUUUAUUGCUUCUAACACAAGCAAAACCCAAUUGAAAUUGGUGAACUUUUGGCUUGUAUUAUUGGUUUCUGCUGGUUUGUAAUUGCAAGGUCCCCUUCAUGGUUACACUUGUAAUUUGUUUUCUCUUUCUGUACCAAUUUCUUCUGACUGAGGUUUACGAAUGUUGCAGAGGCACCCGAACCAAUGGAAAGAGAUUUCAUGUCCCAAAUCCUAAGAGGAAAUGAUGUUCUGCAUUCACCAGUGACUAUGCAUAUUUAGUUGUGGAGAUUGAAGGUGCUAAAUUGUUUAUCGAUAAUUAUAUUAAUUGACAGGUAGAGAUUUCUGAACUAAACGAGGAACUGAGCUGACUUCAGAAUCAGACAAGAUUUGUGGCAUUUUCUUUCGUAUGUACAAAAUUAGGCUUUUAUUAUUGUUGUUGUUGUUGUUGUGGUUAGCAAUAUCAGUGUCAUUUUGUGUUUUUCAAAUGACUGAAGCAAGGCUACUUUUUAAUUAGAAUUUUUGAUAUAUAUACACAUAAGUACUAGGCAUCAAACUGGUGUCAUGAACUUAUCGGUGCAUAUGCCACUGGUCAAGAUCAUACCAUGGGGUGUUCUUCACAUACAUGAGAUUGAGGGAGCAGGAAAUUAGAAAUCUGAUAUAGUAAUGUGUGGCGCUGAACCAGAAAUCUAGAGUUCAUG